UGGAUUCCCACCGUAACUUAAAGGGAAAUUUUCACAAUGUGCAGAGCCCUUGAUGUCCUGCAGAUGAAGGAGGAGGAUGUCCUCAAAUUCCUUGCAGCAGGAACCCACUUAGGUGGUACCAACCUUGACUUCCAAAUGGAACAGUACAUCUACAAAAGGAAAAGUGAUGGCAUCUACAGCAUAAAUCUGAAGAGGACUUGGAUAAAACUUCUGUUGGCAGCUUGGGCCACUGUUGCUGUUGAAAACCCUGCUGAUGUCAGUGUCAUAUCUUCUAGGAAUACUGGCCGGCGAGCUGUGCUGAAGUUUGCUGCUGCCACUGGAGCCACUCCUAUUGCUGGCCGCUUCACUUCUGGAACCUUCACUAACCAGGUCCAGGCAGCCUUCCGGGAGCCUUGUCUUCUAGUGGUUACUGAUCCCAGGGCUGACCACCAACCUCUCACAGAGGCGUCUUAUGUUAACCUGCCUACCACUGCUCUGUGUAACACAGAUUCUCCUCUGCGUUAUGUGGAUAUCGCUGUCCCAUGCAACAACAAGGGAACUCGCUCAGUAGGUCUUAUGUGGUAGAUGCUGGCCCAGGAAGUUCUCUCGUGUGCGUGGCACCAUCUCCUGUGACCAUCCGUGGGAGGUCAUGCUGGAUGUCUAUUUCUACAGAGAUCCUGAAGAGAUUGAAAAGGAAGAGCAGGCUGCUGCUGAGAGAGCUGUGACCACGGAGGAAUUUCAGGGUGAAUGGGCUGCUCCAGCUCCUGAGUUUACUGCUACGCAAGCAGAGGUUGCAGACUGGUCAGAAGGCUGCAGGUGCCCUCUGUGCCUAUUCAGCAGGUCCCCACUGAGGACUGGAGUGCCCAGCCUGCCACUGAAGACUGGUCUGCAGCUCCCACUGCUCAGGCCACUGAAUGGGUAGGAACAACCACUGUUCUUCCACAAGCUCUUAAGAUGGAAAUAAAGUUGGAGGAAAAUAAACAUCAGUUAAAAAAAAAAAAAAGGCUUAUCCUACUGUCCUCAGGAGUAUAA